GCCUCGUUGGUCUAGGGGUAUGAUUCUCACUAUGGGUGCGAGAGGUACCGGGUUCAACUUCCGGAUGAGCCC
rnacentral:tRNA from 1 species